rnacentral:lncRNA from 1 species
AGGAGCUAAGCAUGCCGCGGCAGCAGCCAGGAAAUACAAACACCGCUGUCGGCUUUAUUUUGGUGAUGUAUUUUAGAGAAAGGCACAGAGGCUUCAUUCUCAAACAAGGAAGUUUUCUGCCAUCUCUAAUUUCCAAACGUCCAGGACUGAGAUUUACAGUCAAAAUUCAAAAUUUCCUGUUUAUUUUUACUGUCUAAAUGUGUUCAUUUGGCCCAUUCCCGCUCCACCUGCUGACAUGCUGAAAGCACCAACCGUAUCUUAAAGGACAUGACAGGUUGCUUAGAUGUGCCACACUGCUUCCUGCUUCCUCUGUGGAUGCUGCUGACUAACAGGCAUGAAGGGAAAUGUUCUUGCAUGCACUCUGCUAGUCAAUACUGUUUAUCCGUGACUCCUUAAGACACAUUUUUCUAUUUACCUUUCAAAAUAGGACUGAUAAAGCCUCAGUCUCCUUCCAAAAGAGGGUGGCUGAAGGUACACGGCCAGCAUGUGACUCGACUCCGAUGCAUGGGAUCAAGACAUUAUGAACUUGAGGUAAGUGAGGUCUUGACCUCAGAUCCAGGAAGCUUCAGAGCUGCAGGAACAGCCUCAGGAGGAGAGAAGAAAAAGGUCUCACAAUACCUGGAGCGAGUGACCUGCAGCUCGGCUGCUCCUUUUAGCAGAGUGAGUGCAAAGCCAUACAAACAAUGCACUCUGCACUCACUGUCUCAACAAGUGUUGGACCAAUUUCCUUCCACCUCCGUCCUCUCGAACCCAGUCCCAGCAUCUUGUGAUAGCAGCAUUCUUGUGCUCUGCCCAGCUAUGGAAUCCAGACAGCCUGUGAUUGUUUCAGCUCCAAUAUCUGCUUACCAAGCAAAAUACCUCCUUCCCCAUCCUGACUCCUUGCAAAGGCCAACUUUGUAGACUCAAACACAACAAAGGCAAGAGCGCCCAGCUGUAUCCAUCCUGGUGGUCCUAUCUCACUUACAAACGCUCUCAUACACACCAACUCACUUUCCUUCAUGUGAUGCCCAUGCAGCUAUGGAGUGAUGUUUCCAAAAGGAGACGCUGAUGCUCAGACGGAAAUUUCUCUUCUUGGAAACCACUUCAACAGUCUUCAGAAUUUGAGUCUUACUGAGAUCUGUUACUCCAGCAUGCAUUUCUAAACGGAAUCCAACCCACAUCCUCGAAGAUUGUCCUUAAAACAGGUUCUGGUUAGCAAGCUGGCAAACUCGUCUGCACACGUUUGCCUCUGUGUAUGGCAACGUUCCCCAAAGGAUAACCUCACAGGAGUCAGGGAAAUCUUAGGUGCAUUCUUCCACAUAGCGGGACUGGAGUGGUGUAGGAGGCAAGAUCUCAGGUCAGGUCCCCACUGCCAGGCCAAGGUCCACACUGAGGACCAAGCAGGACUUCCCUGCAGCACUCUCUGAUAGCUUCUCAUCUAGCAGCACGCCUUGGAGCAAAAUCCCUGGAACAAACACAUCCUGGCUCCCUACUGUGACCCGCUGGACACCAAGCCCUACAGCCUUCCUUAUAUAAUGACAGAGACAUGCCUUAAGUGCUCAAGAGCCUCCAAAGAAGACUGAUAGCUGUAAGAAAAGAGGAUAAGGGAAACAGAACUGAGCCUACAGCACUGCCUUAGAUGUGUGCUCCAUCUUCAUUCACGUCUACACGAGUGGGUUAAGUGGGGUCUACAGAAGCUACGGUGCCUGCCUCUGCUGAAAGGGUAAUAGCUAUGAUGGAGAGGAUGAAAGCCAGUGACACAAAAAGCUAACAUCUGCUGAGCACUUUCUGUGUGCAAGGUCUCGUGCCAAGUGCUGCACACACACCAUGACAUGCUGCCAAGAGCAAGGAGCCACUAAAAGAUGCUGAGAAGAGAGGGACGGCAUUCCAUACUCCAUGGCGAUGGUCAAUAAAGUGUUACUAGAAGGGGAGGGGACAAUUCUGACAAUUCCUGGACAACUCAGAAAGCCGCUGCUCGGCUGCUUAGUGAGCAUCCUUGCUAAGUGAACACCUUACACCACGUCUGUCGGGGGGGUGCCUGCUGUCCUUCUUCAUUGGUACCUAUCACCUGAUGCCUGGCUCCAUUCUGCUCCCUUGGGAGUGACAGCCCAGAUAAGGAGGGACUUCCUCUGAUGGGUUCCUCCGGUGUCACCCAGUACUGGGCAGCCUGACAAAGGCUGCCACAUGUUCCUGAUGCCUCUCCAGAUAGUAGAAUCAUAUGUUUCUUUCUGUUACAGAACUUUCUUACAGAAAGAAUUUUGCUCACAUGAAAUGGGCACGGUUAUAGAUGAAGUGGGUGAUUUAUAUGCAGUUACACGGAGAAGGAGAGGUCAAUGGUUAUUAUCUUUCCUUGGAUUAGGCCUGGGACAACUUCAAGCCAGUGCUCUAAAGGAAAAGACUGUACAGGCUGCCAUUGUGGUGGUCCUGAUGGGCGGACUCAGACAGUGUACAAUAGAAUCCACAACUGACCAUGGCGGUAAGUCUCUAAGUAUGCACAGUAAUUUUCAAAAGUCUUGGGGCUGGAGAGAUAGCUCAGUGGUUAAGAGUAGGUACUGCUCUUGCAGAGGACCCAAAUUUGGUUCCUAGUGGCACAUUUGGUGGCUCACAACCACCUAUAAUUGCAGGUCCAGAGGAUUAGACUCCUCUAAUAUAAGGGGGUACCUGCACUCAUAUGCACCUACCCAUUCACACUCAUACACCUAAGAAGCAAAGCAAAGCUUAAAAAUUAAGGCUUGCAGCAUUAAAACUACUUCUUAUCCUCUCAUUAUUAGCCCGUGUUUACUGUUCAUAUUACCUCCCUGAGCUUUAUGUACAUUUUAAUCUAUAAAAUGUAAGUUUAAG